rnacentral:lncRNA from 1 species
CGGGUGUUUGCCACCGCACUGGGUGCUGGAAGCAAUAGGCACGCAGCUGCACGGGAACCAGCGAUGGGGUCCAAGCAGGUGGCGCAGGGGCCCUAACUGUGUUUCAUCGCUGAAGGCUGGGAUAGCCGCCAAGGGCCCACUGUGGUUCAGUACCGGGCUGGUACUAGUCUCCAGCACACUAACGAGGCCUCAGCUACUUCAGUUAUGAUUCCUGAACCAGACCCUAGGAACAGAAUUUUGAACUUCAAGCCAGAAGCAGAAUCCACAUUGCAGUAAGACCCAAGUGGUCUGUCUUCACCCUGCAGCCCAAGAAACACUAGCCUAGAACAUCCCAAGACCUUCUACUCAUUGCAGUAGAACCUUUUGAGUCUGUGGGGCCUCUUGGAGCACCUCAGCUCUUGCAUUCACACUCCCCAGCCUUCCUGCACUGCCCCUACCCCAGGAUCACUUUCUGAGCACACAGCACCAACCAGUGCUAGAGAUGGAAAACUGUUAACUGAGACAGGUGAAUGGAAGCAAGGAAAGUCAGAACAUGGAUCUCCAGUCUGAGCCUCGGUGACUUCAUGGAUAGAAAGGGAAGUGAGACCAUCCCUACGGACUUGCUGGCAUGUGGCAAGCACACAUCAGAUCUUCA